CCAACACUCCUUUGAAUCAAAGCCUCAUCCAGAGCAAGGUCCUAACUCUCUUAAUUCUGUGAAGACUAAAAGAAGUGUGGAAGCUGCAGAAGAAAAGUUUGAAGGUAGUAGAGGCUGGUUCAUGAAGUUGAAGGAAAGAAGCCAUUUCCAUGACAUAAAAGUGCAAGGUGAAGCAGCAAGUGCUGAUGGAGAAGCUACAAUAAAUUAUCCAGAAGAUCAAGAGAAAAUUAUGGAUGAAGGUGGCUACAUUAAACAUCACAUUUUAAAUGAAGACUAAAUAGCCAAUUAUUGGAUAAUAAUGCUAUUUAAGACUUUCAUAUCUGGAAAGGAGAAGUCAAUAUUUGGCUUCAAAUCUUCAAAGGACAGGCCAACUCUCUUGUGAGGGGCUAAUGCAGUUGGUGACUUUAAGUUGAAGCCAAUGCUUAUUUACCAUUCCAAAAAUUCUAGGGCCCUUAAGAAAUUUGCUACUCUGUCUCUACUCUAUAAAUGGAACAACAAAGCCUGGCUGACAGCACAUCUAUUUACAGCAUGGUUUACUGAAUACAUUUAAGCCUACUGUUGAGAACUCGUGCUCAGAAGAAAAGACGUCUUUUGAACUAUUACUGCACAUUGACAAUGUACAUAGUCAUCUAAGAGCUCUGAAGAAGAUGUAUAAGACUAAUUGUUUUUUUUGUGCCUGCUAACACAACAUCCAUUCUGCAGCCCAUGGAUCAAGGAGAAACUGCCACCACCACUCCAAACUUCAACAACCACUACCCUGAUCAGCAGUCACUAAUAUCAAGAGAGAAAUUUGACUUCAAGAAAGGAAAUUGCCUCCAAGGAAGAACAAAAAGAAACCAGUGCCUCUCCAAAGGCUAUCACGAGGCUAGAUUGCUAACCCUCAUUAGCAAGCAAGAGACCUGGUGAGUUUGAGAUAUUGUGGCUCUUAAUGCAAUAAAUAGUAAAAUUAUGUUAUAUUAUUAUUGAGACAUCAGAAUGUCCAUUUUUUUAAGAACCAGGCUAAAAUAAAGAAGACUAAAUUUUUUGCAAUCAGGUUUAAUCGUACAUUAAAUAUUUGAGUACCUUUAAUAUGCCAGUGCAGACACAAAUGUAAAGAAAAUAUACUUGAACUUUAAGAAUCUUCCAUGAAGGAGUAAGAAAUCUGACUAAGAACACAUAUUGUAUGAAAAUGACUGAUACUAAAAGUGUACACUGCUUGGGUGAUGGGUGCACCAAAAUUUCAGAAGUCACCACUAAAUAAUUUAUUCAUGCAACCAAACAUCACCUGUUCCCUAAAAAUCUAUUGAAAGAAAAUGGAAAAAAGAUAAAAUCACUGGAUACUAGGAAAAAAAUAGAGUCAACCUGAAUUCUGAUGUUUAUUCAUCCAAAUUUAGCCCUAAAUGAGUUACACCUCCCAGUCUUUGAAUCUGAGCUGGCCCUACGUUAUUAACAGACUGUGGCAGAAGUGAUGCUUCAUGACGUCUGAAGCUAAAUCAUAAGUCCUCAGCUUCUGCCUUGGUUUCUUGAAACAUUCACUUGAGGUGAAUCCAACAGCCACAUUAUAAGUAGGACUACCCCAAGAUGGUGAAUAUGUGAGGAAGCCUAAGCUAGCCAUGUGGAGAGGACACAAGAAGAGAGAGCUGUGAUCGACCUCCUCAAUCUGUUAUAACAAUCCCAGCUCAGCCUCCAGACAUGGGUGAGAAGGAGCCACUUUGGAUAUUUCAUGAUGAUAAAGAUAUUGGAUACUGAUUUUCCAUUGUUAGGCUCCACCCUAAGGAAAGCACAGAGUACACUAAUCACGGUGAUAAAGACAUUGGAGAUUGAUUUUUUUAUGUUUAGGUUGCACCCUGAAGCAAAUCAUGGAGGCCUUAAGUAUCAUUGCAAGGGUUAGAUUUGGUUUCAGCUAACAAAGUCUGACAAUGUAAGAGUGAAUAAGACAGCAACUGGGAGGGAGUUGAGAGAAGAAUUGGUAUACAAAUAUACUCAUUCACAAAAGUUCUGUGAUUGAAAGACUUUAUCUGUAGUUGAUGAGGCAAAAAAAAUACAGGUAUGUAAAAAUCUUCAAAGAUAAAUAAUACAGGUAUUAAAGAUAUAAUUAUACUUGGACUUAAAGUGUGUACAUCUGGA
ensembl:lncRNA